GACGAACGCUGGCGGCGUGCUUAACACAUGCAAGUCGAACGGAAAGGCCCUGCUUUUGUGGGGUGCUCGAGUGGCGAACGGGUGAGUAACACGUGAGUAACCUGCCCUUGACUUUGGGAUAACUUCAGGAAACUGGGGCUAAUACCGGAUAGGAGCUCCUGCUGCAUGGUGGGGGUUGGAAAGUUUCGGCGGUUGGGGAUGGACUCGCGGCUUAUCAGCUUGUUGGUGGGGUAGUGGCUUACCAAGGCUUUGACGGGUAGCCGGCCUGAGAGGGUGACUGGCAACAUUGGGACUGAGAUACGGCCCAGACUCCUACGGGAGGCAGCAGUGGGGAAUAUUGCACAAUGGGCGGAAGCCUGAUGCAGCAACGCCGCGUGCGGGAUGACGGCCUUCGGGUUGUAAACCGCUUUCGCCUGUGACGAAGCGUGAGUGACGGUAAUGGGUAAAGAAGCACCGGCUAACUACGUG
rnacentral:rRNA from 1 species